ensembl:snRNA U6 U6 spliceosomal RNA
GUGCUUGCUUCGGCAGCUCGUAUAUUAAAAUAGGAAUGACACAGAGAAGAUUAGCAUGACCUCUGCACAAAGAUGGCAUGCAAAUUCAUGAAGCAUUCCAUAGUUGU